ensembl:lncRNA
CCGCCGCCUACUUUCCAGUCCUUCCUGAUCUCUGCUCUGUCUGUCUUACUCCCAAACUGACCGCUGGCUCCCUUCACAGGCACCGCAGCUCAAGGGACCAGGCGUCCGCACCGCACUGGUGUCCCGGAGUCUGAGGCCCGCACUGGAGGAGAAGGAAGUAGGCUCCCAGGGCCUCCGUGAUCGCCCAGGCGGGGAGGGUGGGCAGGAACGUCUGAGCAGGAAUUGGAGCCGGGGUGUCCCGUCCAGCCUUCCUUCUGUCUGAGCCCCCAAAUGUGUGAGCAGCACCGCCCUGGGGGCCGCACGCCAGCCCCGGUGCUGGGUAUAUGGCCCCAGCUGUAUGCGCAGAGGGAGGGCACGGUCCUUUCCGGGAUGGGCCUGGCCGCAGGGACCGGAGCCAGGCCCUUGGAAGGACUGGGCAGCCCUGGGAGGUGCCAGCAGGGGUGAGUGUGGGGGAGUGAGACUGAGGCCUACGUGUCUGCAGGCUCGGGCCGGUUUUCUCUCCCACCUCACCUUGCGUCCCGGGAGCGCGGGGCAGAGAGAAGGGACUCGGAGCCAGCAACCGAGGAACAGGAGCCCCGCUCAACUUCAAGGUCCGCCGAGGGGCCCGAGGACGGAAGGUGUCUGUCCCCAUCCUACCCAUCCUUCCAGCUGUAACCCAAGAGGAGAAGGACAGCGGAAGCGGGAUGUGACCUUCCGGAUCCCUGAAAUGGAAAAUCCCAAGUGUGGGCCCGGAGGGGGCCAGUUAUUUGGGGAAUUCAGGCAUGAGCCCUGAGCCCUGAGAGUGGAUUUGCUGGCACAGAGGUCCGUAAUCCCUCCGGAGGGAGUUCCCUCUGGGGCCAGAGAGGACCCAGCCCAGCGAGCGGGCACAUCAGGCCUCUGGAGCCGAGGCCCCAUCCUCUCCCUCCUUCCCUCCCGGCUUGUCUGGGCUCAGGGCUCCCAGACCUGCUCUCCCUCCCCCUGCUGGCUUCCCUCCACUCCCUGUCUGUGCCCAGAGAAAUGGGGACACUCCAGGAGAAUCCCAUCCUCUGCUCCCGGAUGGCAGGGCCAGGAUCGUUUCUUCUCUAUCUGCCCCUCGCUCUCUUUGCCCCCCAUGCUUUGGCUCUUCUAUUAAAAUGUGAGGCAACACCCCCAGACCAGCCGGUCUGGUCCCAGCUCCGCUCUACCCCUGUUUCCUUCUGGUAUAAGUUACAGACACCCCUUCCGGCCAGGCCAGGCCCCCUCCCCACCCCCAGGGACUUCUCCCAGCUUCCCCCCCUGCUUCCCCGCGGAGGCCUGUCCUGUGUGCUGCCCACCUGUCCUCCCUCCAUCCCUGGAAGAAGGAAAGAGCCACCUCCUUCCUGGUUCUCGGGUCUGGCACGUGUUAUUGUGGUGACCUCCAGAUGCCUCUGAGAAGCUCAGUAUUUUCCUCUCUUUUGACCCACCUGCCAACCCCAGGCAUAGAUCCAGCCUAGGGCUUCUCAACGAGGGAGUCGUGCGUCCCUUCGGUAGCAAGGGGUCAACACCACCCAGAACUAUUAGCAUGGACGUCUGUGCGGCUGGCUCCAGGGCUGUCCCCUCUGCGUCCCUGUCCUUUCCCCAGUCG